CAUGAACGAGAUAAAGAUGCAAAUAUAUCAGGUGAACGAUAUAAAUGAACAAGGAACGCAUCCAUGUGCAUACGGUCAGUAGUGCAACGACACAAAAAUGGGUGUCGUGCUAAGACUUCGAGUUGUCAUAGGUGUGCUGCUCGUCUUCUUCGUCCUCUACUUGCUCUUUAUCGGCAUCAGACGAGCAGUGGUCACUGGUAGGCAAAGCGUCAAGGGUACUGGACAUGUGGUACUGAAGGAGCCAACCUUGCAAAGGAAUACCUUCGUGAGGUCGGAGCCUGUCAGGGCUAAAUGGCCGGGGAUAAGGAUUAAGAUGCGUUCCCAUGCGAAAGUGAGUAGUCAGAAGACGGGGACUGAUGAUCGAUUACACCCCAAGAAAGGAGACGAAAGUGGUGGACAAGCGAUAAGAGUGCGUAAUUGGGUACAAUUGCAAUUUGCUGAAAAAGCAGUGAUACUACAAGGACUUGCCGAAGAAUUUGCUGCAAAAGCUAAACUCCUGAAAAAUCACUUGCAGCUAAGUGCCAACCAGCUUGCCGAGAAAAUACGCCGACGUAAGAAGUCGCAGGCUGCGACGAAGCUUGUACCUGUUGUUAAGAAGAGUUGAAUUGCAGUUGUAAAUUUAUAAAGGCACAAUUAAGGCAUGAGAUAUGUUGAUUUUUCAUACAAGAAUGGCUUUCACCAGAAUCGUGACUUCUCUAAAAUCAGCAAACUGCAAUAAACAAUGCACCGGAUCUGGGUGUAACUUAUAGGCCUGCCUUAAAUUCCCAAAGCAUGUUAACCGGCGAAAAUCAUUUUAAGAUAUCAGCAUUGGUAUGAUACUACCAGCGGCGGCACAUGGUGGCAAGCAGGAGUAUUAUCCUCCUGGCCAGAUAAAUCCAACGCCCAAGUUUAAAGAGACAGAAGGAUGACGACGACAACGACGACGACGACGACGGGUAUGAUGCUGAUGGUGGAUACUAUAGAACAUAGUAACUUAUCACAGAAUUACUUUUAAUAUGUGCAAAGGUGGUGAAGUAAAUAUUUUGUAAAAAAUUUAGCUUACAAUAUUACAUAGCCUUCUCUCUUAGUCUGGUGUGAAUCAAUAAGGGUGACUUGGCCAAUAAUUCGAACCUGGCUGUCAUGAAUUUUCGAUUUUGCCUCAUUUUUUGUAUUCCCUCGAAAUGGAAAGAAAUAUUCGACCACCUUCUUGUAUGGAUAGCAUCUUCAGUUCAAACGAUCCUGUUGUGUUGUUUAUUACCGCACACUGUAUUUCACCACUGCCAAUUAAUAACCUCCGGAUCUCCGUGAACAUGAAAAUGAUCUUAAAUGCCCUUUGUGCUGAGUGGCGGUUAGAUGCGAAUUGGCUUUUUAGCGUUGAUAUUGCUUUCAAACACAAUGGCCUGGCCACAGGAAAUCGAUCAUUAAAGGUUAAUUAAACUGAAAAAGUGCAAAGAGUGACUUGUCUGACGAUAUAUAUCGGUAAUAUUGUGCGGUCACCCGAGUUGAGUAGAUUAAGAUUGUGUUCUUAGACACUGCUGAUGAGUCAGUACGUGUUUCUUCAGAUUGUUUCCAGAUCUUUUCGAGCUGUGAUCAGGCUACUUCGCGCAACAUGGAGUCAUUUCCUAAUUAAUAUAAUUUAGCCACAGGAAGGCAGCAACUAAUAUCAUGAACUUCAUAGUUUUUUUUUCACUAUGUACACUAUGCACAUAAACCAUGUAAACAGGCGAACGAAUUCGAUCCACAUGUGUCAUUAGCUGGCUUCCGAAUGAUUAGUACGCAUAGUGUAAAAAGCUAGUGUAAAUAAAUUAUGAAGCUCACAGACAUAAGUUGCUGCCUUCCUUAUUUAUCAAACGGACACUUAAGUUCUCUACCCAAGUUAUAGUAUAGUUUAGCAGGACUUUGAACUGUCCCUUUAGCUUCAGACACUUGCUAACUUGAAUGCUAACUAUACUAAAAAGGACCGUUGAGUAAUAAAAACCAGAAAGGCUUUUUCAUGUACAUGUAGUUACAAUUGAUAACGCCAACAUCUCGGAUUCUAUCGCGGAUUUAACCAUGGAAACGUUUGCAAUAUCAGUGAUGUUAAUUUUGAUGUGUACGGUAGGACUGAAUUCAGGACUAGACCCACCAGCUGGCUAUACUUGGCGGCAAGGAGACUGUUUCGGGAAUGACAUCAUACAGUACAACCAAGUAAACAUAGAGCAGUGCUGCAUGCUGUGCAGCAAGGUUCAUAGAUGUCUGACUGUGCAGGCGGACACCAGUAGUGAUACGUGUUGGCUUAAAAGCCGCAAGUGCGCCACGACAUCAACCGCCAACAUCAACAAGAACACGUUUGAUAAAAUAAGGCCAAUCUUCAUGUUUACCACCUUUGCCAGUGCAGCAACGAAGCCCGUCACUGGGAAAAUAGUGGGCGUACAGACAGACCCGACCAUGAUCCACUGCUCCGUGGCUUGCCUGCAAAUGGAAGAGUGUAGCUUCUUUACCUACGAUAAAGUCUCUGGAGAAUGUCAACUUGUAGAUGUCCUCGGGACCGGGGCACCACUUGGAACAAUUGGAGCCGGAGUCAUGUACGAGCUGGCAGGAAUUUAGUCAAUAUUCCACAUUUAAGAGAUUUAUCAAGUCCCUGAUGGAGAACAUGAAUUGGAUUCCAUAUUCAGCACUUUCCGAUGAACAAAAUGUUGACUUAUGGCCGAUAUGGUGGCCAUGCAAUCAAGCGGAAGCCAUAUUGGCCGACCAAAAGCCGAAAAAUACAGCUCUUUGCGAAAAUAAUUUGUUUUACACAACCUGUUAGAGUGAUAUGAACUUCGGGCAUCUUGUACUGUACUCAAUAUCGUGAGUGAAACAUAUGUCAAUUAGGAGGACUGCUAUUGUUCUUCAAAUUCCUCGACACCAAGGUGGAUGCAUCCUAAAUUUCAGGGCAACACUCUACACCACUGAUGGGCGAGCAUACGACGGACUCUGGUAUUCCAGGUUGAGCUGGAUGAUACGUUUAUAGUUUCUAAUCAUCUCAUUCAUUGUCCUGCACUACUGGCAUUGGCAUACCACUCCAGUACCCGUGAGUCAAUUUGGAAUGGGGAUUCCGGUGAGAAUAUGACUGGGGUACUGAAAAUUGAGAAACAAAUGCAAUUUGGCACAAAUUUCAAGCUUGAUGGCUGCAUGCACAUAUACAGAUCAAUACCAGAAGUUGUUUAGUUUCAGCUGCAAUAGGGCAAUGAAGCGCUCUUGAGAGUGAAUCAAUCAGUCAGUGAUGCCAUUAUCUAUCGGCUUUGUGCGUCGAUCAGUAUCCCUGCUUCAAAAUGUGAAGCCGGAUACUUAGGAUUGACGCACCACGCCGAUAAAUCAGCAUUGUCAUGUUGGUUUCCGUCCAUUUUACUCGACAAGUGAAUGGCCAAGGUCACUGAUGAGAUGGUAAGAAUUGCAGAUAAUUUCAAAAGCUGUCAAACGUACCUAGCAACGAAGGUUGGUUUUGACAUUUGACUUUAUUACGUUCGUUAAAUUACGAUGGAUUGUUGAGUAAACUGUAUAUACAAGCUGACAGACAUGAAUAAAACAGAAUGGCGGAUCCAAUUACGUUGCUGGAUUAAACCGGAACGCUAUUUCUGGAGA